rnacentral:rRNA from 1 species
CCUACGGGAGGCAGCAGUAGGGAAUAUUGGGCAAUGGGCGAGAGCCUGACCCAGCCAUGCCGCGUGCCGGAUGAAGGCCUUCUGGGUUGUAAACGGCUUUUCUCGGGGAAGAAAAAGACCAUGCGUGGUACACUGACGGUACCUGAGGAAUAAGCACCGGCUAACUCCGUGCCGGCAGCCGCGGUAAUACGGAGGGUGCAAGCGUUGUCCGGAUUUAUUGGGUUUAAAGGGUGCGUAGGCGGCCCGUUAAGUCCGGGGUGAAAGCCCACAGCUCAACUGUGGAACUGCCCUGGAUACUGGCGGGCUUGAGUCCAGACGAGGUUGGCGGAAUGGAAGGUGUAGCGGUGAAAUGCAUAGAUACCUUCCAGAACCCCGAUUGCGUAGGCAGCUGACUAGGCUGGUACUGACGCUGAGGCACGAAAGCGUGGGGAGCGAACAGGAUUAGAUACCCUGGUAGUCCACGCCGUAAACGAUGGAUACUCGCUGGUGCGAUAGACAGUCACUGGCUUAGCGAAAGCGGUAAGUAUCCCACCUGGGGAGUACGCUCGCAAGAGUGAAACUCAAAAUGAAUUGACCGGNUGAGACGNGCGAGACGACACGAGGGAGAGG